rnacentral:rRNA from 1 species
AUGAACGCUGGCGGCGUGCUUAACACAUGCAAGUCGAACGGUGAAGCUCCAGCUUGCUGGAGUGGAUCAGUGGCGAACGGGCGAGUAACACGUGAGCAACCUGCCCCUGACUCUGGAAUAAGCGCUGGAAACGGCGUCUAAUACUGGAUACGAGAAGGGUCCGCAUGGGCACUUUCUGGAAAGUUUUUCGGUUGGGGAUGGGCUCGCGGCCUAUCAGCUUGUUGGUGAGGUAAUGGCUCACCAAGGCGACGACGGGUAGCCGGCCUGAGAGGGCGACCGGCCACACUGGGACUGAGACACGGCCCAGACUCCUACGGGAGGCAGCAGUGGGGAAUAUUGCACAAUGGGCGAAAGCCUGAUGCAGCGACGCCGCGUGAGGGAUGACGGCCUUCGGGUUGUAAACCUCUUUCAGCAGGGAAGAAGCGAAAGUGACGGUACCUGCAGAAGAAGCACCGGCUAACUACGUG